UUCUAAUCCUUCAAACUCGUGAAACUUUUUGAUUCAUUGAAUUGGUAAUUUGAAAAUUUAAAUGCUUAGUGGCUUUUCAAGAAUGAGGAUCCAAUGUUGUAUUCGUGGGAAAAUUUUCAGUUCUUUACCCCCUUUUAACUCCUAUUGCACCCCCAUCUCCAAAAAUCAUUGUAGUGGUGAGCUCAUGCUUCAGAGUAUCAAUUCAGCAAGUCUUCUUUGGAAAGGGCAGUUCAGCAACUUUCUGCUAGCAUAGUUUCUGGCGGGCAUUGGCUAUUUUAACAGACAAAUCAAAACCAUGUGUUGGACUGAGUUAGUUUAUUGGAUCCAAUAAUUUAUGCUGGAAAAACAGAUUGUAAAAGUGCAAGAAUUCUCAUUAUUCACCAUUCUUGUUUGUAAAAUGGCCAGUUCAGUUUUCUUUUG